GUGCAUAUUCUUCAUUGCGGCUAAUGGAUUAGACAGUGAUUGCUGGUCAGCAUUGUGUGCAGAUGUGCUUGUGCGUGAGAGUGGAGCUGUAUUGUUAGAGUGCUACAUGUGUCAUUUAGAGAGUGUGAGAAGUCCCGACUGCUUGGCUUGAGAUCAAAGAUUCUCACUGCUCUUUUAAAAAAGGAGAGAUCCGUCACCAUGGCAACAGUGUCCCUGCAAAAAGAAGAGGGUCCAACCAACUCGCUUGAAGUGCAAGAGAGCCAGAUGCAAGGUGACGCAAGCCUCAGUUCUUCUGUGCUGGACCCAAAAGCUCCCAAAGCAGAACCAGAAAACGACACUGAUGACGUGUUCCAAGACCAAAUGGAUGAAAUGCUGACAGAACUAGUACAAGAUUCCCAGCAUUCCCAGGUUGAUAACAAAACUGUUGAGACUCUAACAGAUCAAAAUGCUUUCCAGCCACCUCGUCCUCUCUCCCUUGAUGCCUCACUAAGAGAGACAUGCCUGGAGAAAGAGGUGAUGGAAUGGACCAGUGAUGGGAUUACCUCAAAUGAAUACUUUACAUCUCCUGAAUGUCGCCCAAACGUUCAAGAAUCCUCAACUUUUGAGGAAUGUUCUCCACUAGCAGACUCUUCUCUAAGCAGUUUCAACACAGGUCCACCUACAAAUACCCCGAGAGAGGUUGUCCAACAAGAAACAUCUCUUUUUGCUGAUGAAAUAGAAGAGAAGACAAACAGGGUCAUUUCCUUGUGUACUAGAGCAGUGAUCAGUUGCAAAUCCUUGCCAAGUUUCAACUCUGUAGACCCAACCGUGGACGUAGUUCCCUCAGAAAACCAGCAAGGGGAGCUACUGCCCCAAGGCCUACAAAGACUUACCCCCAAGGGCACAAACCAGGAAGCUGCUCAACAGGUGCUUGGCCAGAACUCUGCACCUUUGUCAGCGGUUGCCAUGGAGCUGUCCAAUCAGCGCGGGGCUGCUUGUAAAGGCUGUGUUGUCACUGUUAGAGAAAAGAAGGCAGGCAGGGUGGGGGAAAGGACAGAGGGAGAAAGCGAAACAGGAGAACAGAAAGACGGCGGACUUGAAAGGAACAAGGUAGUUGCACGAGAGCAAGGUCUCAUUCAAACACAGGAAGAAAAUCUAAAAGGACACAUCAGAAUGGAGAGCGAUUCAAGCGAUGAUAGCCAGAGUGACAGUGGACUAUCUGCAGACUUCUCACCACGCAGCACUUUGAACAUCUCUGCAGGCUCCCAAGCGCCUCUACCUAAAGAAACCCCCAUUGAUAGGGAGAUCAGACGUGCAAUUGAACGUGAACAAAGUCUGAGAAGGUCCAGGGGGAUACCAAAUACAUCCGGAGAGUAUGUUGAGAUUCCGGUAAGGAAAACUCUUGGCGACCCGAUUGUUUCUGCCAACUCGGACAAAUACCAAGGCUUAGACAGGCACCUGGCGAGCAAAAAGGUGCAGCAAGAGAUCAGCGAGGAACUUCGCCGAGAACAAGAUCUGGUCAAGCUGGGGAAGGUUCCCGGUUUCUACGAUAAAGGCACUGUUCGGCAGCUUAAAGAGAAGAAGCAGAUUUUUGAAGCCUUUCAAAACCACAGUGAGCCACCUUUGAGCGUGUCAUGCAGGAGUAAGGCGUCAUCCUGGUCCUCCAGCAGUGACAGCUCUACUGUGGAGAGCCACGAUGACAGCUCAUCACAGGCAUCCACUGUAAGAAGCUCAGAGAGGAGACAAAGUAUAGAAGAUCAAAAGAGAGAUGCUUAUGCUUCUUCAACAGCAAGAGGACCAGGCUUAUCUGAGGGCAGGUCCUGUCAGGUCAUCAUUGUGGAGAACAACUUGAGUGUCUCGGGACAGAAUCUCCACCAUGGCAAUUUGGAGGAAGAGAGCCUGGUCCGUGGUGAUUCAGAAGCUUCUUAUGUCUUCCCAUCCAGUUCAGCAGGUCACAUUUUGGAGGAGGAAGAGAUGACGUCCAAGAAGAACCCCUUCUUCAAGCUGCGCACCCCUACAAAUGUCAUUAAAGUGGAGCAGGAUAUCCGGGAGGCUCAAGAGAGGGAAAAGGAGCUCCGCAAGCAGAGGGUCCACUUGUAUGGGGAUGAGGGGGGAACAAUGGGAGGAGGAGGUGGUGUGAGAAGAAGCCUCCAAGUGUCUGUUCCAGAUUCUUCUGGCUCACCAUCCAAGGGAGGAAGUGGAGCCACAGCGGGCCGCCCCUCUGUUGGAAAGCUCAGCGUGUGGCCCCCAGGCGAGGAUCAAAGAGAGACAAUAAACAAGCCAAAGGUAAACAAAGUUUCUUCUCCAUUUAACACUUUUGCUUCUGUCCUUCAGUUGCUGAGAUAUUACAUUCUGUAACACCUAAUAUACCAAACAACAGAUCUUCCGUCAGACACAGUCGCUUUAGAGAAUAAUAAUGUCAAGGAGAUAUCUAGUUCCAUUAGAAUAAAGCCAUCUGCUCCAGCAAAACAAGGGGGGAUUCCACUGAGUCUCAAUGCAUAUGAGUAGUUUUUCAAAGCAGGCAGGCUGGUGAGAGGAUGCAAGCAUCUCUUUUGCACCAAAUGUGGGCCACAAACAUCUGAUAAGGCUCAGAACACACAGCAAGCAGCUUGUCUUCAUAGAUAAGGAGGGAGAGGGGAGUGUGUGCGUGUGUUUUAUCUGCUCGUGUGUGUACUCUUGUCUUUCUAUCUUAUAGCUUGACAUCCCACCUUUAUCAUCAUUGUGUGUGUGUGCGUGUGUGUGUGUUGCACUCAUUAAGAGAAAGACAGGGAAGUCAAUUGCACUAAUUUCCAUUACGUGCUCUGUUUCUUUUCCUGCUCACUUUCUUGCUCUCGCUGGCUGUUUGCUUAUCUGUUAGACCAAAUUGCUGAUUAAACUUUAAGAAUAAACAACACGAUUUCAGGUCUCAGUUGUUGAAUUAGUCUUGCUAAAUCACACCCCAGGCGGCCCGAGAAAACUCAUCCAAAGAAACUAACAGUCAGGUCUUGAAACAACUCGAAAUUUGACCUAAAUGUAAUAGGAUACAAAAAUUCAGUACAAAAGUCAAAGUAUGGUUCUGUAGCACCAAUUCACAAUAGACGUUAUCUCAAGACGCUUUAUAUAUGGAGACCAUCCUAGACCCACGCCCCUCAUACAUUUAAAAAAAAAAAAAACCCAGAGCGAGCACUUUGGCAGCGGAGGUGAGGAAAACGCUAAAAAAAUACAGGUAGUUCUCGACUAUUUGGGUUGAGAUAGAGAAAUAAAAGCAAAGGCUGACAUACAUAAUAGCGACACCCCUAGUAAAAAACAAAGAAAUUAAUUAUUAAUGAGUUAUAUUGGUAAAUAUUACAUUCAUUGUGUCACCUAUGACAAAGUUCGCACCAUCUAUCUCCCACAUUGCACAGAUAAGACUACUUUACUGUAUUUUUCCCAUUGUUCUUUCUCUUAUUCGGUCCCAAAUGCUGAGACUAUGUGGGACUGCAUAAAGACCUCCCACAGCUCCAGACAGAAGACGCCUCUCGUCCACCUGUGGGAGUCAGGCCUGGUCAACGGGCACAACCUGGAAGAUCAAUAAUGAAGAGACACUGAAAGUAAAAAAAAUUAAAAACAACAUUUUUAAAGUGAGCAGGAGUGUGAGGGAGAAAGAGGCCAAGGAUUGAGGUAAGAAGAAUCCUUCAGGAAGAUGGCCUAUUUCUGGUACUGGUUGAAGAACACCACAACCUCAAAGCCUUGUGAGGAAAAAAAAAUAGUAUAAUUAUCAUUGAUUUUUGAAUGAAUCUAAAUAUCAUUCACCAUAGCUAUAAAAAACAAAAACAAUCUGCCACCAGCAGUUAUGUUUUUAUGACGUGUUCUUCUCACUGAGUUGAUUACAAUCAAGUCCAAAGUUUUACUGUUGAUAUCAUAAUACAUUUGACAUACUGCAUAGGGUAUUUUGGAUUUUACUGAUUACUGAGUUCCAAUAGAGACUUGUAUCAAAAAAGACAAACUACCUAGUUUUGACUGACACUGUCAUAGAGGUAUUAAUGUAAUAAUAUGUACUCCCUCAUACCAACACCUGUUCCUAAUAUUUUGAAAGGGUUUUUUUUUCUGGAUAUAGCUCUCCUUGUACCUAAUGUGGCCGGUGCGUCAGGUCCCAUUGAUAACAUCAUCAGAUGUAAUUCAUUGCUGUAUUCGUGUAUGUGCUCAAAAAGUUGGCAUUUUCCUAAUGAGUUUCUGAAUCACUCAGUGAGUUCCCAGACUGAACAAACCAGAUUUAAUCCCAUAGGCUACUUGGCGUGCCGCAUUUGGAUUAUGGUGCAAUGAAGUUGAUCUGGAUUUUGGAGGUGAAUCAUGACAGUCCAGAGUGCACAUGCUUGAAUAAAAGCGGCUGUGUUUUAUGACUCCUCUUCUGGUCCUGAGUCAUGCAGUAAAAUGUUGCACUUUGGAAUGAAACUGGAGGGCCAGACAUGACAUUUUUAUAUUCUGUGUAGUGCAUAAUCUUCAUGAUGAAGAUUCCUUUUGCAUAGAUAUGCUCGAUAUUGGCUCACUUACCAAUAUCCGAUGUUGUCCGGCACUUCAUUUCAGAUUCUGAUAUUGGCAGAAGAUCUUCCCUCAACUAAUGUCAGGUCACAUCUUGUGUAAUGAAUGAACACAUUAUGCAUCUUUUACUGUAAUGCCACUGGAUGCAUUUGACAAAACACUGCAAAAUCAGACAAAUACUGCAACAUACAAUGUAAGUUCUAGAAAAAGUACCAUAUUUAUUUUCAAAUCAUGACCAAUACUGAACUGAAAUAACAUGUCUUCAUGCUAUUAACAAGUAAGACAGGUUUGACUUAAUAAAUUCCCACAUAAGAACCGAAUUAAAUAAUACAAUUGGGAAAGCUGCACAUUUCUAUGUGGCACAAACAUCCACAUAAAAACAAGUUAACGUGCAAAGUGUGAAACUCUGGACUAUCUAAUACAAACUGGGCUCAUUCAGCACAUCGUCUGUUGCUUUUUUUUUUGCUGCGGGUAUACUUGCUGCAUGUGACUCUGAAUGAUUCUUGCUAAGGUGUGAUAUUAGAUUAAAAGCAUUGAAGGACGACACCUUAUUCCCCCUUGCAGCGCUUUACAAACAUUGCAAAUUGCAUAUUUACAAUCUGAAGGGGAACGUGGGUAAUAAUCCCAGACCUCGGACACACUGAGCUAGCAAGCUUGUUGCUGUGUGGAGCAACACACACAGUCAUCGCUCGCAGGCCGAUAUCAUUAUCGCAUACCGAUAUGAAUCACUAUCUAAUUUUUCUGCCUAUAUCGGCCAGCGAUAUCAUCGGACAUCCCUGAUUGUGCAUGCUUCUAAUGCUUUGGAAACAUUGGCUUCAUACCAUAUUAAGAUGUCUUAAAUAAUUGUUGUUAAAUAAUUGAUAUAAAAAUGUGUUAUUAAUUGCUUUUCUGUUUUAAGGAACUACUGCAAAAACACUUGCCAAAGAUCUUCUAUAUGACAGCAGCAAGCUGCUGUUUUUAGUAAACUAUGAUAAAAAUGAUAAUCAAAGAUCCUCUGUAUGACAGGAGCACUCAGCUGCUUUGAGGAAUCUACUGCAAAAGUGUCAGUCAAAGAUCCUCUAUAUGCGAGUGGUUUUCAGCUGUUUGGAGGAAUUUGCUGCAAAUGCCGUUCUGAUGUCAUUUAAGGCAGUGAUCUCAAACUUUUUUGAGUCCAAAGGCCGUUUGGGAACAAUGAACAGGAAAAAUAAAAGUCUGUUGCCAGCACUGGAGAAAAUUUGACUUUCACUUUUUCUCGGAACACACAAGUAAGGUGCAUUGAAGGCCCGCUGGGAAUAAAUGCUCAACAAAAAAAUGAAACAACAUAAACAUGCAAAAACUAGGGGCUUUCUAGCAGUAUAGUAUUUUUCCAAUGAAAUAAUCAUCCUAUUUCCAAAAUUCAUAUUCAUUUACAUAAUAUUCAAUGUAGUUACUUACAAAACGUUUUUUUAAAUGUGUCUUUUUUUUAUCUUAAAGUUUUCCACAGCUCAGUUCAGCAUCUGGGAACCACUGCCAUUUAAGAUGUCAUUUAAUGGCCAGAUUUAGGCCGUGGGUCACUAGUUGGAUAGAGCUGUAAUACAGUCCACCCUCGUUUAUAGCAGUUAAUUUCCAGACCCGACCACGAGAAAUGAAUUUCCAGGAUUCAGUGUUAAUAAAUUGAAUGUUUUUGUAGUUAAACAAUACAAAAAUUGCUGAAGACUUUUUAAAUACAUUUUUUAAGUACUAGAGCACUGUAGACGUGAAAUAACACGCCUAUAGUCACCUUUACACUCCCAUUAUUCAUUGUUUACAUCACAUUGCACAACGCUCAUGCUCCAGGGACUGGAGAUGGCCGCUAGCUAUGUAGCCUCAAAGUUAGCCUCAAAUUUAUUUAUUCUAAAUUUUAAAAGCCAAAAACUUACCACUUCCACAUGGAAGGGGAGGAUAACCCUUUUCACUCUAUCAUGUCAGACAGGCAAUGGCUGACUUUGGGACUUCAUGCAGUUUUAAGGUAAUGUCUCAUCAAUGUUUUGUGUCAUUACUGCCACCUAGUGACCAGAAUACUACAUAUCACUUGUAUGUCAGUAUGUUUUGACAAAUUAUAAACCAUAGUCUACCACAACACAGCUAUCAUUUGUUAAUUAAUUAACUUCUGAAAAACAUGAUAUAGCGAGGGAGCAAUAAUUGCGAUCAUAUUUCGAGGGACAACUGUAGUGUAUAGACCAGGGAUGGGAAAACUUUUUGACUCCGGGGCCAUAUUGGGUUAAAAGAUUUCGCCGGAGGGCCGGGCUAUACAUAGAAUUAUAAUUGUAACUAUAAUUGUAAGAAUCCACUUGGAAUUAUAUGUAUUCUUUUAGCUGUAUAAGUGUUGCUGCAUGUGAAUAAGCAUAAACACAACAAAACGAUGACAACACGGAAAAACACAAAAACAAAUGGUAAAAAAACAAAAAAAUAAAAUAUCACUUUCCUGCAGAACUGUGACGUAGAAAUCUUGCUUUACUGUCUCCCUCUGUCACACGAGCUCCAGCUGCUCUGUACACACAGCCCCACCUCCUCUGCUUUCUAUCAAAGCCUCGUCUCCCUGGAGCUGCUGUGACGUAGUCCCAAUGAUUACGUAUGACACUAAUAGCGCGGCGUCGGAGUCGGUUCAGAAACCACUGGAAUCAUUUCGAGAGUUCAAGACUUACGUUAAUUCAAGUAAAUAAGAUCAAGUAAAAAAUAUGGACUUACUGACUGAAACUGACAGGUGGACUGCAAGAUAGGCGAGAAAGACGAGCGACACCAAGCCAUGUUUUGCAAGCAGUUCAGGUCUAGAACACUUGGGGGACACCGUCUACCAGGCACAAACAAGCACAGCCAUGAACGCAUGCAAAGAAAGUGACAUACACAACAAUAAUAGCAUUCACUAAUAUUGCAUUGCGAGAAGUAUGGUAUGUUUUACUGGCAGUGAUAGAUACGACAGAUACCACAUAGCCGCCUAGCUAGAGCGCCAGUUAAGUGGGCCUUACAUCCCAACGUACGUGUUACCACGCAUACGGGCUUCACAAUUUUUGGGAAAUUUGUUGGCCUUGGUCAGCACAUAGAGGAAGUAGGGUAUCAGAGUGGUUGCAAGUGUGUCGUACACCCACAUGCUAGCCGCUUGCACUCCGUUGGUAGCUUUUAGAUAGUGAGUGCGGCGUGCGACUUGUGCGUUCUAGGUGCGCUUCAUGUAAGCCUGUCGGACGUUUCACUUACUGGGGACGUACUGUACGUGUGUGUGCAUCAUACGAGGCUCUUGCAGCCCACUCGCUUCGAUUGCAAGAUGGGCUUACUGGCUUCCUACGGCAACUACGGCUAUCGUGACCGGGAGAACCAGAGUGUACAGCAGGAAGAGCCGCGGGUAAGGUGUAUUAAUGUUGGAUACGCUAUGUGAGCAGCCGCCGUGUGUCCAUGGAGGUCAGGAGAACUAAAGUGUAGGCCGCUUUAGGAAUUAGCUCUGCAUUAGCCACCAACACGAGGCUGGCUACUACUAGCAUGGUAGCAGAAGAAAUGUGAAUUGACUUCCUGCCACCUUGGCACGCUUUUCCACAGUCAGACAUCUUAUUCGUUUUUGAUUUUUCAUUUCCAUCUACUGGGAAUAUGGAAACAUUUGUCCCACAAAGUUUGCCGUUCAUCUGACGAGGCGAAUUGUGUCUUUCAGAAAGGUGAACAAGCUUACUCCGUCUCCUCGAGUGUUUCAGCAAAUGCCUUCAACACAACUAGCGCGCAUACUAUAAAAACAUACAGUAUAUAAGAAACAACCGAAAUUGCCAGAGAACUGGAGCAUAUUAACUGGGAAUGGAUUGUAAUGAAGGAGAAUUUAUGACCAUCUGGCUUAGACUUCACUUGCUCCUCCUCCUCCGGACCCGGAAGAAGUGAUGACAAUUUUUGGUAAAUAAAAUGGUAAAUAUUUCUAUAAUCCACCGCUCAUCUAACACAAUGUUAUUUUUCAUGGAGGAAAUAACAUGUUUUGGUGUCAUGAGCACUUUUAAUGUAUGUCAGCUAUAAAAGUUUUGAAGAUAACACAAACUGUGGCAGAUGCUAUCUGAACAACCAUACUAUAAUAAUUGUGUUGUCCUCAUUUGGGUGUCAGGAUGUGUUUACAGAGAAAUAUGUCAUAGAUAUGCUUUAGUGGCCUCCUGUAAAUUAUUAAUCCCCUUGUGGUCCCAUUGGCUCAGUGGUUAUUUGGAAUAGAGUGUUGUCCUAAAAUAUAUUUUCGAUGAAAUCAUGUCUCCUUAGUAUUAAACCAUGCUAGAAUAUUUCACUUUAGGCAUGUGUCUGUAUUAUCAAGACAUAUCGGAAUGGAUUCCAGGGAUUGAUUUUCUUACAUGUUGGUAUCAUAAUGUGUGGGCGUGUGUUGAAGCGAAAAACGAAUAUAAUGGCAGAACUGUGUCGUGUCAUAGAGAUAAAAAUGUGUGGAUACAAAGUAGGACUCAGAUUCAGAUACUCCAGUUACUAAGGACAGAGCCCUCAGAUGUGUUGAAUAAAAUGGAUAGAGUCAUUAUAAGGGACCUUUUAUUCACCUCGCUGCUAUUAUGAAAUGUCAACCCUCCUUUUCGCCAUGCACCACUGACAUAAUCAAACCUGCUAAAUGCAUAAUGCAAAUGUUGUCCGAUUCAAUUAAAUAUGAGCACAAAUGGGCGGGAAAGACAUUUAGGGUGUUGACGACACGUCAACAAAUACCACAGUCCUCUAUCAAGUUCAUAAUAUACCACGCACGUUGUCCUUGGAAGGGCGAUGAAUAUGACGAAUAUCACCACUGAUUCGCACAGUACAGUUAAGAUUACAAGUUAAGGUGGGGCCACUGAGUUCAUCAAGGUGAUUUAGGCCUCUAAGUAUUAUUCUGCAAACAGACCAGCCUCAUAUUGUAGACACACAGCAAACAUUGCAAGAUUACAGUAUCAGUCACCUCCUUAUGAAUACCUGUCUGUCUUAUUAUGUCGUAGAUACGACAUUACGAUAUUUUGCCAACAUGUCAAUUGAUUUGUGCGAUAAUCACGUUGUGGAAAUGUGGGUAUGACGGAGUAUCGUGCAAUACAAUAUUAUAUUUUGUCUAUGAUAUCCAUGCCUAUGAUAUCACAAUACAGCAUUUAUACAAUAACGGCUGGUAAUAGUGGUGGGAAUCACAGAGUAACUCAUGAUACCAUGUUAUCACAAUAGUUUGAUCCUGAUAUUGAUAGUAUCUAAAACUGUGUUACACUCCAGGUGUCAUGCUCUUAUUUUGGUUGCUUGGUACUUGCUGUCUGUUU